rnacentral:rRNA from 1 species
ACUCCUACGGGAGGCAGCAGUGGGGAAUUUUGGACAAUGGGCGCAAGCCUGAUCCAGCAAUGCCGCGUGCAGGAAGAAGGCCUUCGGGUUGUAAACUGCUUUUGUACGGAACGAAACGGUCUGGGUUAAUACCCUGGGCUAAUGACGGUACCGUAAGAAUAAGCACCGGCUAACUACGUGCCAGCAGCCGCGGUAAUAC